rnacentral:rRNA from 2 species
AGUAAGCGAGGCUACCAUGCAGUCGAGCGAGUCUUCGGACUUAUCGGCGGACGGGUGAGUAACGCGUGAGAGCGUGCCCUUUGCUUCGAAAUAACCCCUUGAAGCUGGAAGUAAUACGGAAUGUGCCCUACGGGGGAAAGAUUUAUCGGCGAAGGAUCUGCCCGCGUUGGAUUACGUAGUUGGUGGGGUAAUGGCCUACCAAGCCGACUAUCCGUAGCUGGUUUGAGACGAUGAUCAGCCACUCUGGGACUGAUACGCGGCGCAGACUCCUACCGCAGGCACCGAUGCGGAAUCUUAAACCAUGCGCGCAGGCCUGAUCUAGCCUUGCCGCGUGAGCGAUCAAGGCCUUACGGUUGUUAAGAUCUUUCAGGUGAGAAGAUAAUGACUGUACCGCCAUAUUAAGCCCCAGCUAACUCCGUGCCUUCAUCCGCGGUGAUACUGACGGGGCUAGCGUUAUUCGGAAUUACUGGGCGUAAGGCGCACGUAGGCGGAUCGGAAAGUCAGAGGUGAAAUCUCAGGGCUCAUCCCUGUAACUGCCUUUGAAACUCCCGAUCUUGACGUCUAUAGAGGUGAGUGGAAUUCCGAGUGUAUAGGUGAAAUUCCUAGAUCUUCAGAGGAACACCAAUGGCUAAGGCGGCUCACUGGCUCGAUACUGACGCUUAGGUGCGAAAGCGUGCGUAGCUAACAGGAUUAGAUACCCUGGUAGUCCACGCCGUUGACGAUCAAUGCCAGUCGUCGGGCAACAUGCUGUUCAGUGACACUACCUAACGGAUUAAACAUUCCGCCUGGGGAGUACGGCCGCACGGUUAACACUCAAUCGAAUUGACCGGGGCCCGCACACGCGGUGGAGCAUGUCGGUUAAUUCAAAGCAACGCGCAGGAAUUUACCAACGCUUGACAUGGCGAUCGGUGGUUCCAGAGAUGGUUCCUUCAGUUCGGCUGGAUCGCACACAGGUGCUGCAUGGCUGUCGUCAGCUAGUGUCGUGAGAUGUUCGGUUAAGUCCGGCAACGAGCGCAACCCACGUCCUUAGUUGCCAGCAUUCACUUGGGCACUCUAGGGAAACGACCGGUGAUAAGCCGGAGGAAGGUGUGGAUGACGUCAAGUCCUCAUGGCCCUUACGGGUUGGGCUACACACGUGCUACAAUGGCAGUGACAAUGGGUUAAUCCCAAAAAGCUGUCUCAGUUCGGAUUGGGGUGAGCAACUCGACCCCAUGAAGUCGGAAUCGCUAGUAAUUGCGUAACAGCAUGCAGCGGUGAAUACGUUCCCGGGCCUUGCACACACCGCCCGUCACGCCAUGGCAAUUGGUUUUACCGGAAGGCGGUGCAGCCAACCUAGCAAGAGGAGGCAGCCGGCCACGGAGAUCAAG